AGCGAACGCUGGCGGCAGGCCUAACACAUGCAAGUCGAACGAACUCUUCGGAGUUAGUGGCGGACGGGUGAGUAACACGUGGGAACGUGUCUUUAGGUUCGGACUAAAUCAGGGAAACUUGUGCUCAUACCGAAUGUGCCCUUCGGGGGAAAGAUAUAUCGCCCUUAGAGCGGCCCGCGUCUGAUUAGCUAGUUGGUGUGGUAAAGGCUCACCCAGGCGACGUUCAGUAGCUGGUCUGAGAGGAUGAUCAGCCACAUUGGGACUUAGCCACGGCCCAAACUCCUACGGGAGGCAGCAGUGUGGAAUCUUGCGCAAUGGGCGAAAGCCUGACGCAGCCAUGCCGCGUGAAUGAUGAAGGUCUUAGGAUUGUAAAAUUCUUUCACCGGGGACGAUAAUGACGGUACCCGGAGAAGAAGCCCCGGCUAACUUCGUGCCAGCCGCCGCAGUAA
rnacentral:rRNA from 1 species